GAAAUGCGAUAAGUAAUGUGAAUUGCAGAAUUCAGUGAAUCAUCGAAUCUUUGAACGCACCUUGCGCUCCUUGGUAUUCCUUGGAGCAUGCCUGUUUGAGUAUCAUGAAAUCUUCAAAGUAAAUCUUUUGUUAACUCAAUUGGUUUCUACUUUGGUAUUGGAGGUCUUUGCAGCUUCACACCUGCUCCUCUUUGUUCAUUAGCUGGAUCUCAGUGUUAUGCUUGGUUCCACUCGGCGUGAUAAGUUAUCUAUCGCUGAGGACACUGUAAAAGGUGGCCAAGGUAAAUGCAGAUGAACCGCUUCUAAUAGUCCAUUGACUUGGACAAUACUUUUAUGAUCUGAUCUCAAAUCAGGUAGGACUACCCACUGAACUUAAGC
rnacentral:misc_RNA from 1 species